AAGGAUUUAAGUUAAAUUAAACUAUUAACCUUCAAAGUUAAAAAUAUAAAUAAUCAAUAUUUUGUAAGCCUUA
rnacentral:tRNA from 1 species